AUGGCGCUGUUUGGCGACCGCGGGUCUUUUGCCGCUAUUUGUCGUGAUGUUUCAGGUAACUUUCUUGGAGCUUCUGCUGUUACUGUUGCUGAACUUGUGUCGCCGGAGAUUCUCGAGGACAUGGCAGCGAGGGAGGCACUCGCUUUGGCAAAGGACCUUGCCUGCACCAAGAUUGUUGUGGCCACUGACUGUCUAAAUACUGUAAACCAUCUCAAGACAGAUUACAUGGGAGGGGCCAAAGCGAUUAUCUUUGAGCUGAAAAGAAGCAUGCAGGAUUUUGUGUCCGCUGUUGUUUUGCAUGAGAAGAGGGACUCAAACUUAGAAGCACAUUCCUUAGCAAAAGCUGUAAUUUCCUUACCUUUGGGUAGGCAUGUUUGGUUGACUGAGAAACCAAACUUAAUCUGUAUCCCUGACAAUAUCAUGAGUUAA
rnacentral:rRNA from 1 species